rnacentral:rRNA from 1 species
GGGCCCGCACAAGCGGUGGAUGAUGUGGUUCAAUUCGAUGCAACGCGAAAAACCUUACCUACCCUUGACAUGCCAGGAAGCCCGAUGAAAGUCGGGUGUGCCCGAAAGGGAGCCUGGACACAGGUGCUGCAUGGCUGUCGUCAGCUCGUGUCGUGAGAUGUUGGGUUAAGUCCCGCAACGAGCGCAACCCUUGUCAUUAGUUGCUACAUUCAGUUGGGCACUCUAAUGAGACUGCCGGUGACAAACCGGAGGAAGGUGGGGACGACGUCAAGUCCUCAUGGCCCUUAUGGGUAGGGCUACACACGUCAUACAAUGGCGCAUACAGAGGGCUGCCAACCCGCGAGGGGGAGCAAAUCCCAGAAAGUGCGUCGUAGUCCGGAUUGAAGUCUGCAACUCGACUUCAUGAAGUCGGAAUCGCUAGUAAUCGCGGAUCAGCAUGUCGCGGUGAAUACGUUCCCGGGCCUU